rnacentral:tRNA from 1 species
GGAGGGUAUAGCUCAGUAGUAGAGUGCAUGCCUAGCAUGCAUGAGGUCCUGGGUUCAAUCCCCAGUACCUCCA